rnacentral:rRNA from 1 species
UACGUAGGGUGCGGGCGUUAAUCGGAAUUACUGGGCGUAAAGCGUGCGCAGGCGGUUGUGCAAGACAGAGGUGAAAUCCCCGGGCUUAACCUGGGAAUGGCCUUUGUGACUGCACGGCUAGAGUGUGUCAGAGGGGGGUAGAAUUCCACGUGUAGCAGUGAAAUGCGUAGAGAUGUGGAGGAAUACCGAUGGCGAAGGCAGCCCCCUGGGAUAACACUGACGCUCAUGCACGAAAGCGUGGGGAGCAAACAGG